GACGAACGCUGGCGGCGUGCUUAACACAUGCAAGUCGAACGGAAAGGCCUGUCCUUCCUUGUGUUGGACGGGUACGCGAGUGUCGAACGGGUGAGUAACACGUGAGUGAUCUGCCCCCAACUUGGGUAUAAGCCUGGGAAACUGGGUCUAAUUCCCGAUAGGACUGCAGGGUGGUGCGUGUGGUGGAAAACGAUUGUCUAGUGGUCGGGGAUGAGCUCGCGGCCUGUCAGCUUGUUGGUGGGGUAAUGGCCUACCAAGGCGGCGACGGGUAGCCGGCCUGGGAGAGUCGACCGGCACAGUGGGACUGAGACACUGGCAAGGAUCCUCGGGGCGGCAGCAGACGGGAAUAAUGCACAAUGAGUGGUAGCCUGAGGGAGCGACGCUGCGGGGGGGACGACGGCUGUCGGGUUGUAGUCUCCUUUCGAUCGCGAGGAAGCGGCUGGGUUGGAAGGGUAGUGACGGUAGUGGUAGAAGAAGCACCGGCUAACUACGUG
rnacentral:rRNA from 1 species